UAGCCGUCUCUUAAUAUUUAUGCGUGACCCUGGGGUCAAACUCCAAAACGAGGCUAUCCCCGCAAGCUUUCAAAAUGGCAUCGGAGCAUCGCCGUGUCCUCGAAUGCGUUUCCGAUGCGAGGUGAGAUAAAUCUAUGAGUUUUCAUCGUUGUUCCGGUCGAUUUAUCUUUGCGGAAACGAUGACUGGCAGCCAUCCGACAAGUUAUAGGGAAGUUGUUCACCUCCUUGAUUUGUGUGUUGUAAACAUGCAAGUAUGCCCCUGUGCAAAGAAUACUGAAAUCAGGGACAAUCCCAUCCAUAUUUGCAUGGACUGUGGCCACAACACCAAGGAAGCCCCCCUUGAUCCUAUAGGCCAGAACGUCAUAAUUGUGAGGAGAACCUGGUUCCAGGAGGAGGUGUGAUGGACCUGAUGGAUGAGGUUGAAGGGUAUGAUCAUUCCACACAGAAUGUGGGGUGUGAGGCACAAUUUGAAAUAAAGGAGAUGCAGGUCCAUGUUGAACAAUGGGAGAACCAUCUACUCAAUAACCAUCUGGCUCUUGAGAAUUUUGGAGUAUCAAGAACUAGAACUGACCCGUUUCAUGCAAUAUUAAAUUUUCAUUACUGACUGUGAUACUUUCAAGUGAUGUUUAUAUUUUGAUCAACCCAGUGCCACCAAAAUGUGUAGCAUGUAUUAUGUUUUUUCUGACACUGUUUCCUUGGCUG